rnacentral:rRNA from 1 species
UUGGAGGGCAAGUCUGGUGCCAGCAGCCGCGGUAAUUCCAGCUCCAAUAGCGUAUAUUAAAGUUGUUGCAGUUAAAAAGCUCGUAGUUGAAUUUCGGGAUUAGUACGCUGGUCGUGCCUUCGGUACGUACUGGUGUUACUGAUUUCUACCUUCUGACGAACCAUCAUGUCAUUAAUUUGGUGUGGUGGGGAAUCAGGACUGUUACUUUGAAAAAAUUAGAGUGUUUAAAGCAGGCUCGCGCUUGAAUACAUUAGCAUGGAAUAAUGAAAUAGGACGUUGAUCCUAUUUUGUUGGUUUCUAGGAUUGACGUAAUGAUUAAUAGGGAUAGUUGGGGGCAUUAGUAUUCAAUUGUCAGAGGUGAAAUUCUUGGAUUUAUUGAAGACUAACUACUGCGAAAGCAUUUGCCAAGGAUGUUUUCAUUAAUCAAGAACGAAGGUUAGGGGAUCGAAGACGAUCAGAUACCGUCGUAGUCUUAACCAUAAACUAUGCCGACUAGGGAUCGGAUGAUGUUAUUUUUAAUGACUCAUUCGGCGCCUUACGGGAAAC